UGAGGAAGGCAGGCCAUCGCUGUUUUAGGCUUAGGCCUAGAGCAGAGGAAAGUCUGGACUUCACAGGAAAGGAUACCAGUUAACGGCUGGGCGCUGCAAAGCGACGGAAAGUGCAACAGAAACUACCCCGCCCUCUUCCCGAGGGACAGGAUGAAAAGGUUGGUUUCAAGAGCCAAUCAGCUUGGAGCAAUUCAAGCUGCUGCAAACCCUAUCCGAAGCAAGGUCGAACCGGGCCAAUCGCGUUUUCCGCGCGGGCCCUAGCUGACUGCAUGAGAGAGCUGGCAACAGCUCUCCUAGAGGAAUGAUGGCUCGUGAGGGGUUUCCCUCAAGACAGAAUCCGGCUUAACGCCUUCCUCAAUGU
rnacentral:RNase_P_RNA from 1 species